AUACUUACCUGGCGGGGGAGAUGCCAUGAUCAUGGAGGUGGUUUUCCCAGGGAGAGGCUUAUUCAUUGCACUCUGGAUGUGUGACCCCUGAGAUUUGCCUGAAUGUGGGAAACCCGACAGCAUGAUUCAUGGUAGUGGGGGACUGCAUUUGCACUCUCCUC